rnacentral:lncRNA from 1 species
UCGGUCGGAUGAAGCCCUUGUCUACCAGCUCUUGCAACUGCUCUUUCAAUUCUUUCAACUCAGCUGGAGCCAUCCUGUAGGGAGGGAUAGAGAUCGGUCGGGUUCCAGGCAUCAAUUCUAUCUCGAACUCUAUCUCCCUAGCAGGUGGUAAACCUGGCAGCUCGUCUGGGAAGACGUCUAGAAACUCUCUAACCACUGGCACCGAGGCGGGCUCUCUAGCCUGACUGCUAAGCUCUCUCACAUGAGCCAAAUACCCCUGACAUCCCUUCCUAAGCAACCUACGAGCCUGAAGAGCAGAUAUCAGACCUCUAGGUGUACCCCUCCUGUCUCCCCUGAAGACAACCUCUGACCCA